GUAGUCCUGUAAGCGCGCGGAGCCCGUCGGGCGCCUAUGGAACUCGACCCGCAGGCCAAAGGGGCUCCGUUGCAAGGAAGAAGUGCGGGGUCCCGCCGCCUCCUAGACCGAGAUCGCGGAGCCAGCUGGUCCACCAGAAGUCUGUGUUCUGCCUGUCCCUGCAGCACGGAGGGCUGGGCUUUAUACCUGUGCCAAGGACACCAACGGCAGCAUCAGCAAGUCCGUGUUGUCUCCCAAAUAAGUGGUGUUCUCCAACAAGCUUUUAGCAGUAAUAAAGCUGACAUUUUUAUUCUCAUAUGUCCCUUGUCUCUUUUUCAAUGAUUUAGAUUUAAGCAGGAAAGCCUGGGUUCCUUUUGUGUGUGUGUGACAGGGUCUCUGUCGCUCAGGAUGGAGUGCAGUGGCGCGAUCAAAGUUCACUGCAGCCUUGACCUCAAGCAAUCCUCCCACCUCAGCCUCCAAGUAGCUGGGAUCACAGGCUUGCAUCACCAUGCCCAGCGAAUUUUUUUUUUCUAGACACGGUCUCACUAUGUCACUCAGGCUGGUCUAGAACUCCUGGCCUCAAGUAAUUCUUCUGCCUCCACCUCCCAAAGUGCUGGGAUUACAGGUAUGAGCCACCAUACCUUGCCUUUUUUUUGACAUGGAGUCUGACUCUGUCACCCAGGCUGGAGUGCAGUGGCACGAUCUCAACUCACUGCAACCUCCACCUCCUGGGUUCAAGCGAUUCUCCUGCCUCAGCCUCCAGAGUAGCUGGGAUUACAGACGUGCGCCACCACACCUGGCUAAUUUUUGCAUUUUUAGUAGAGACAAGUUUUCACCAUGGGCUCCAGUUUUACCAUGUUGGCCAGGCUGGUCUUGAACACCUGACCUCAAGUGAUCCGCCCACCUUGGCCUCCCAAAGUGCUGGGAUUACAGGCACGAGCCACUGCACCUGGCCUCUUUUUUUUUUUUUUUUUAAGAGACAAGUUCUCACUGUCGCCCAGGCUGGAGUGCACUGGUGCAAUCCUUCCACAUUAGUUUCCUGAGUAGCUGGGACUACAGGCACACGCCACUGUGCCAGGCUAAUAUUUUUUGGAAAUGGGGUCUCCUUAUGUUGCCCAGGCUGGUCUCAACUCCUGGCCUUAAACAAUCCUCCCGCCUUGGCCUCCGAAAGUGAUUUAUUCCUAAAACUCCAACAGCCUCUUUCCCCACCAGCCCCAUACUAGAGACCCCUACUGCACCUUCCCAUCCCCCGCAGAUGAGCAGAAUAACUGGCGCCUCUGUUGUAAUGAGAGUUCAGGUGCCCAUGCCAUCUCGGGACCGUUCCUCCCUGACUCCCCAGGUCCCUUCUGAAGGCAAGAACCACAGGGAGAACAGAGAAUGCUAAAAGGUGAGCUCAUUCCCUCUGUGGCAUCAAUACCUGACACUUGGUCCUAUCCUGAACAUAAACUCUGCACGUGGCAAGGAAGGCAAAGGCAAGGGGCACUAUGAGAAUGACAAGGCGAAGCGACAGGCAGAGACAGGCCCGAGGGCUCCAGUGGCAAGCUUACACACUGCACGGAUUUUGGGACAAGUUCUUUCAUGUUAUCAAGCCCACCUGUCUCUCCUGCUUAGAAAAAGUCAGGUGCAGGACAUGGCCAUGUUAAUUCUGGGCUGAGGGUAACAAGAUUUUGACUCCCAAACUCUCAGGCCCCUUUAUGGCUGUGCCCAGGCAUUGGGAAAAAGAGGUGAUGAAUGAGGUGCUUCCAAGGCUUGCCAGAGAUAUGUGUGCUAGGGCUGCAGUGGACUGGGGCUGGGGUCCUGGUCAGUAAGCUGGGAUGGUGACCCAGUCUGAGAUGGAAUGUGUGGCCCUGAUUCAUAGGCAGGUGACAUUUAUAGAAAAGAUUAGGCACCUCCCAGGCUGAACACUCUGUCACUGAGCCCAUCCACCCUCACCCUCGGCCUCAACGCUCCUUGCCAUAGCUGGGGGGCAGGGGUGGAAGGGUGACCUUCCAACAUCCUGACCCAUGUAUAGAAGAAAGUAACUCAGGGAGGCCGGGCACGGUGGCUCACGCCUGUAAUCCCAGCACUUUGGGAGGCCGAGGCGGGCAGAUCACAAGGUCAGGAGAUCGAGACCAUCCUGGCUAACACGGUGAAACCCCGUCUCUACUAAAAAUACAAAAAAUUAGCCGGGCGUGGUGGCAGGCACCUGUAGUCCCAACUACUCGGGAGGCUGAGGCAGGAGAAUGGUGUGAACCCGGGAGGUGGAGCUUGCAGUGAGCCGAGGUCGCGCCACUGCACUCCAGCCUGGGCAACAGAGUGAGACUCCGUCUCAACAGAAAAAAAAAAAGGAAAAAGUAACUCAGGGAGCUUCCUGGCCAAACAGACACCGCUCCUCAGCCCAGUGCUCCUGAUGGGGUGCUCCCAUCCCCAGUCCUGCCCAGCUUCUGCCUUUGCCAUGUCCCCCUGUUCCCUUCCUGUGUCAGUACCAUCCUCUCCCCGCCCAUCGUCACUUGCUCCAGGGAACUCUGGCCCAAAAGAGGCCAGCUGGCCCAAAGCGCCUGAAAUGCUGGCAAGGGACAGAGCCCUUGGCACGGUCCCUGUGGAGGGUCAGGCUGGGUCAUGGCUCCAAGUGCAGGCAGAGGAGAGAGCACUAGAGAUUCAGGCUCUGAGUUGCCCCCAGGGCCAGUUGCGCCAGGCUGGCUCCUUCUGCCCAGUCCACUGUAUCCACGUUGAAGACAGGCUGGUUUCUUGUGGGAAAGGGGCAAUAAAAAGGAGAGGAGAGGAGGGAAUAGGAGAAAGGAGAAGCUAGAAAGAAAGAAAGAAAAGGAAAGGCAAGAGAAGCUUGAUCAAGGAAAUUUUAAAACCCAACAGAGAUGAAGAGGAGGGAGGAAGGAAACAUCAGAAACAUCAGUAGACAGAGUUCUUUUUCUUUUCUUUUUCUUUCUUUCUUUUUUUUUUUUUUUAGAGACUGGGUCUCCUUCUGUUGCCCAGGCUGGAGUGCAGUCACUCAGUCUCGACUCACUGCAGCCCCGACCUCCUGGGCUCAAGCAAUCCUCCUACCUCAGCCUCCCCACCACACCCAGCUAAAUUUUGUAUUUUUUGGCAGAUAUGGGGUUUCGACGUGUUGCCCAAGCUGGUCUCAAACUCCUGAGCACAAGCAAUCCACCCGCCUUGGCUUCCCAAAGUGCUGGGAUUACAAGAGUAUGAACCACUGCACCCAGUCUGACAGAGUUCUUUUUUUGUUUGUUUUGUGUUUUGUUUUGUUCUGUUUUUUUUUUGAGACGGAGUCUCACUCUGUUGCCCAGGCUGGAGUGCAAUGGCACAAUCUCGCCUCAGAGCAACCUCCGCCUCCCGGGUUCAAGUGAUUCUCCCCCUUCAGCCUCUGGAGUAGCUGGGAUUACAGUCUCCCACCAUCAUGCCUGGCUAAUUUUUGUAGAGAUGGGGUUUCACCAAGUUGGCCAAGCUGGUCUUGAACUCCUAACCUCAGGUGAUCCACCUGCUUUGGCCUCCCAAACUGCUGGGAUUACAGGCUGGAGCCAGCGUGCCUGGCCCCUGACAGAGUUCUAAGCAUGUGGGAAGCAUGCGAAGUCCACGCAAGUCCCUGGGCUGGGCUGCUAGCCUCCCUGCUUGGUACCUGGUGGCUGUUCCCCAGGAGGGCAGAUAGACUCCCUGCUCUCUGCCCUCUUGUCAUUGUGAGCUCCCUGGCCCAUCCCUAGGCUGCACUGCACUUCCCAGUCAGGGCAGUGCCUGGACCCUCCAAAUACAGCUCCUGCCAUGGCCUCUUCCGAAUCCUAGGGGCAAACGGGGCAUUGAUGCACUUAGCUCAGCCCUCACACUCUCCUGCCACCGACCCUGAGAAGGGGCAGCUGGCACCAGAGAGUCUCUGAGCUGAACCUGGGCUCAUUCUGCAAGAUCCUUCCUAGGGAGACUGGCAUGCAGGCAAGGGGAUCAGCUCCUGAAGGCCCCCAGACUCCCAUAGGAGGGGAGGGAACUCCAGGGAUAGGCAGAGGGAAGGCUCCUGGGGGAGUCAGUUGCCCUCCAGAGCCCAGGCUUACGGGUGGGCUGAGCAGAUGGAGCCACUGCCUGAUGCUGUCUCCCCAUGCCCUGACUCCAAGUGACCCCACUGGCUGCUGCCCCUGUGGCUCCAGCCAUGGAUGGGUCCCAGCCUUUGACUGGCUGCACUUCAUUGUAUUUGAUGGUUACUUUUUGGAGUCAACUUGACUGGAUUGAGGGACACCUAGAUAGCUGGUAAAGCAGUGUCUUGUGAGGCUGCUUCCAGAGGAGACUGGCGUAUGAGUUGGUAGGCUGAGUGGGGAAGACGCCCUGUCAAUAUGGGAGGGUACCAUCCAAUCAGCUGGGAGCCUCGGUAGGACAAAAAGGCAGAGGAAGGGCAAAUUUGCUGUCUCUCUCCUGGAGCUGGGACAGCCUUCUUCUCCUGCCCUUGGACAUCAGAAGUCUAAGGGUCUUGACCUUUAGAUGCUGGGACUUGCACCAGCAGCCCCCCAGGUUCUCAGGCCUUCAGUCUCAGACUGAGUCACACCUUCAGCUCCCCUGGUUCAGAGGCUUUCAGAUUUGAACUGAGCCAUGCUCCCAGCAGCCCCAGGUCUCCAGGCGGCCUGUCGUAGGACUUCUCAGGCCUCCAUAAUCACGUGGAGCCAAUUCACCUAAUAAAUCCCUUCUCAUCUAUCUGUCUGUCUCCUAUCUCUAUCUAUCUAUCUAUCUAUCUAUCUAUCUAUCUAUCUAUCUAUCUAUCUAUCUACCUACCUACCUACCUGCAUGCUAUAGGUUCUGUCUCUCUGGAGAACCCUAAUACGGUUGGGAUGCAAAUUGGAAGGCACACCACCUGUUAAGUAGUCCUGCUGAAAGAAUCAAUCCUAAAUCUUAUCAAGACUUGAGAUCCAGGCGGGGCGCAGUGGCUCAGGCCUGUAAUCCCGGCACUUUGGGAGGCUGAGGCAGGCAGAUCACUUGAGGUCAGGAGUUCAAGACCAGCCUGGACAACAUGGUGAGACCCCGUCUCUACUAAAAUACAAAAAUUCGCUGGGCACGUUGGCUCAUGCCUAUAAUCCCAGCACUUUGGGAGGUGGCUGGAUCACCUGAGGUCAGGAGUUCGAGACCAGCCUGGCCUACUAAAAAUACAAAAAUUAGCCGGGCGUGGUGGUGUGCAUUUGUAAUCCCAGCUACUUGGGAGGCUGAGGCAGGAGAAUUGCUUGAACCUGGAAGGCAGAGGUUGCAGUGAGCCAAGAUGGUGCCAUUGCACUCCAGCCUGGGUGACAAGAGCAAAGACUUCAUCUCAAAAAAAUAAAAAAUAAAAAUAAAAAAAUUAGGGAGGGCGUGGUGGCUCACGCCUGUAAUCCCAGCACUUUGGGAGGCCGAGGUGGGCAGAUCAUGAGGUCAGGAGUUCAAGACCAGCCUAGUCAACAUGGUGAAACCCCGUCCCUACUAAAAAUACAAAAAUUAGCCAGGUGUGGUGGCGCACACCUGUAAUCCCAGCUACUCGGGGGGCUGAGGCAGGAUAAUUGCUUGAACCCGGGAGGCAGGGGUUGCAGUGAGCCGAGAUCGCACCAUUGCACUCCAUCUGUGGGCGACAGAGCAAGACUCCAUCUCGAAAAAAAUAAUAAUACAAAAUUAGCCGGGCAUGGUGGUGUGCGCCUGUGGUCCAGAUGAGGCAGGAGAAUAGCCUG
rnacentral:lncRNA from 1 species